AAUUUGAUUUUUAAAGUUUCUCAAAAAACCAGACAAACUUUAGAGUCAAAUAAAUUUUGCACUGAGUCAGACUCACAAACAUCUACUCCACCAUUGACCCAGCCUUAUAGACUUUCGGUACCAACACAUGAUGCGGCAACACCGGAAAAUGAUUAAGUACAACCAGAAUACAAGGACAUACUUUGUAGGAUGAUGGUCGUGCCUGAUGGAUCUGGUUUUAUCCAGAUAAAGAGAGCAUAGAUGUUCUGAAAGAGAACAUUAGAAGUCUUUAUGAUCAGCCUUAUCCAUCGUAGAACGAAAUUCCAGUAAGGACAUGGCAAGUCAUGUUUAGUCAAUUUAAGGCAGUUGGUUUGCGGAUAUUGUGUAUUUGGCUUUCAAAAUGUAGUUAUUUUUUUCGUGCAUGACUUACGAGAGGAAGGCUAGUUUCAAAAUGUCAGACUGGUUUGGGGAUGCUCAGCAAAAUAAAAAGAAGCAUAAUUGUCUUCUCUUGAUCUUUGCAAGGGUUUUCAAACAUAUUAGAGGAUCCUUGAGUUUUGACUUAGUCUGAUAAAGCAAAGAAAGCCAGAAGGUCUGCAAAAGGUGCCCAUUGCUCACUAGAGGUACAAAGAAAGAAAUUGGUAAGUAAUAUUAUUAAUUUUUUAAUUUAUAUGCUUAUAUAAAUUUGACUAAAUUUUAUUGAUUAUAUUUGAUUAAAUUUUAUUUGAAGGCCAAAAAAUAGAUGUGCGAGUGACUCAAAAUGAUAUCUUUUGAGCAAUCCACAUAAAAAGUGGAAGAAUGAGUUAGAUAUUACAGAAUGAGUUGAGUAAAAGGCUCAACAAAGCUAUAUAAGUUUGAUAAAAAAUUAUACAGAAAGUAAUACUAUGACUAUGUAUACUAACUUUUAUUUUUAAAUUAGCUCAGGGUCAAAUGUGAAACUCAUAAGAAUAUAUCUAACGUCAGGCAGUUGGUUUGCGGAUAUUGUGUAUUUGGCUUUCAAAAUGUAAUUAUUUUUUUCGUGCAUGACUUACGAGAAGAAGGCUAGUUCCAAAAUGUCAGACUGAUUUGGGGAUGCUAACAACAUAAAAAGAAGCAUAAUUGUCUUCUCUUGAACUUUACAAGGGUCUUCAAACAUAUUAGAGGAUCCUUGAGUUUUGACUUAGUCUGAUAAAGCAAAGAAAGCCAGAAGGUCUGCAAAAGGUGCCUAUUGCUCACUAGAGGUACAAAGAAAGAAAUUGGUAAGUAAUAUUAUUAAUUUUUUAAUUUAUAUGCUUAUAUAAAUUUGACUAAAUUUUAUUGAUUAUAUUUGAUUAAAUUUUAUUUGAAGGCCAAAAAAUAGAUGUGCGAGUGACUCAAAAUGAUAUCUUUUGAGCAAUCCACAUAAAAAGUGGAAGAAUGAGUUAGAUCUUACAGAAUAAGUUGAGUAAAAGGCUCAACAAAGCUAUAUAAGUUAGAUAAAAAAUUAUACAGAAAGUAAUACUAUGACUAUGUAUACUAACUUUUAUUUUUAAAUUAGCUCAGGGUCAAAUGUGAAACUAGAUGCCACUUGCGCCUCCCGAGAUUGGGGCGUGCGAUUACUCAAGGUUUAAGGAUUUUCCUAUCUAUCGAUAGGAUUGGAAUAGGUGAAACCAUGGUCUAAAUUUUUAGAUCAUAACAACUUGAUAUCAGGGUAUGCAUCAUUGAUAUCAUAAGUGCGAGCCAUUUCUAGUAAAGGUUUGUGAAUCAGUGCAUAGACGUCUGUUACAUAUCUUUGAGGUGCUAUAGAAAUUUAAAAAAAUUAUGUUCUUUCUUUCUUGCUAUGCAUACUUAAUUCCAUCAAUUACUAAAAACCUCUAAUGCAUUCUCUCAUAGAUGGCAAGGAUACGAUCUACUCAUUGCUAGGGGUCGAGAUCCCACACUUGCACCUACAUAUACUAUCCAAGUCGUGGCACGUGGGCGAGGUUGAGGUCGAGGUCGAGGUAGGGGCAAAUGUUGUGUUGCAACACUAGUUAGAGUGAGAGCACAUUGAUGUGAAAUGAGCUGGGCAUUUAAAGAAAUUAAAGAUGGGUUCUUCAACCCCAGAUGAACACCAAGAACAUUUAUAGAAAAUAAUAAAAAGAGUAGGAAGAUUAAAAGAAUUGAUAGGAUAAAUGCACAUCUAAGUAAUUAAGUACCUAGACAUAUAAAGAUAUAAUCAAUAAUCUUAAAUCUAAAAUAAGAAGAAAGAAAGGGUUAAUCUAGAAUUACAAUGCAAUCAAUUAACUCAAAGAAAUAAUUAGGAGAAUAUAAGAACUAAUUAUAUUAACAUUCAAAUACAAGAUAUAAUCCAAAGACAAAAAGAGACAUGAACUGAUACAUGGAUUACUACUCAUAGUUAUUCAAGAGAGGGUCAAGAAGAAAUAUAUGACAAAUCACUAACUCACAGAAAGAGCAACUUUAUCUAACCAUCCAAAGUAAUCUAUCUCAAAAAGAGACCUAAUAACUUAUUUAUACUAUGGUUCAUUAUUUUUAAGGAAAAUAUUAAACUACCCUCAAACUUUAGGCAUCCUAGUUUAGGACCAAGGGCAUAAGUCCUUUUUCGGGCUUCUCGUUAUAUUGGACCUUGUUAUAUUAUGGAUCUUGAAGUAUGGAAAGAAUCCUACAAUUUCAUAUAGUCAUCUGGUAUCUCAUUGCACAUGUAGCUGGAUUGCCCUAUUCAAAGCAACAUCUAUCGAGAUUGAGUAUUUUUUAGGAAAUGAGUUGGCUUUAAGGGGAGGAUAUGAUGUAACUUAGAUGAAUUUAUGGCUACACCUAUCUCUAGGACUAUUAUUUGUAUUCUUGGUUUACUAGAAGGUACUGCUCAAGCCAGUAUCUUAUCUGAUACUCCAAAUAAUCUUCAGAUGAGGACAGGGGGUAGACUCUUAAAUCAACAUCUAAUUAUAGAUUUCUAGGGUGUAGCGGGUCAGCCACUCGCAAUGACAUCUUGUUCUGUAACGCCCCGAAAUAUCAUUUCGAGACGCCACACGGUGCCCAAGGCUACACGUAGCCUCAAGCUAAUCCUUUAAGCCAAAACACUAUCCUUGGGUUCCAACACAACAUACACGCUACGCUAAGGAUAUAUAUAUAAGUACAUAUCAUAUCACAUCGCACAUGGCACGGAAUAUCGUUAGACUAUACAUAUAUGGAAUGUCUAUACAUAAACCCACCCAAUAAUACACUAGUCUAGCAUAGCCUCUAUACAAUAAAAUCACCGAUCCAUUGGGACAAACCCCCAACUGAUUCAACAGAGCAAAGGGAUCACAAAACAACAACACCAAAACUAGCAACUUGGUCCUCGAACCAUGAGGAUUCACCACUGAAGGAACGUAGAUGCGGCAC